GGCCUCGUAGCUCAGCUGGUAGAGUGUGCGGGUACAAAGUGUAGGUGGGUUCGAAUCCCACCGAGGCUA
rnacentral:tRNA from 1 species